UUUGUACUCAUAAAAUGAAUACGUUUUUAAUGGGCAAGAACUGCACAGCUACUUAUUUUGUAUUUGACAUAUUCUACUAUCUCAGAGAACUCUUACAUAAAAACUUUCUAGGUGUGACCAGUUAAUUAAAACUGACGUGAUAGGACUCAAUUUCAAAUGAAACAGUUCUCCUUUUCAAUCAUGCAUUCAUGGAGAACCCCUCUACAUUAUGCCUGUGCUUAUGGCAAUCCAGCAGUGGUGGCUCUUCUAGUGAAGAGGAAAUGCAGCGUCGACUUGUGUGACAGUGAUGGCAACACACCAUUGAUGAAGGCCCUACAAUAUGAGGAAGAGGAAUGUGCAAUUAUUCUUCUAGAACAUGGUGCCAAUCCAAAUAUUCACAACAACAAGGGUGAAACUCCGCUCCACUAUGUUAUCUUUUAUAGGAACACAUUAAUAGCAACAAAACUGCUUUCAUCCAACGCAGAUAUUGAAGCCAAAAACACGAGUGGCCAAACACCACUUUUACUCGCCAUAAAGAAAAACAGAUAGAUGAUGGUAGAAUUUUUUAUUAAGAAUAAAGCAAACAUACAUGAAGUUGAUGAUAAGGGAAGAACAGCCCUCAUGUUGGCUGUGGAACAUAAGUCAACACACAUAGCUGAGUUGCUUCUUCAAUGUGGUGUUAAUGUGUCUGCUUCAGAUAAUUGUGGAGAGAUUGCCUUGUCUUAUGCCAUUGCUAGUGGAAAUACUGCGUAAGUAUUUACAUUACAAUACUAAUCAAAAUUAGAUGUAUAUCCACAAUAGAUUUCAUAGCAUUACUAUGUAUGGAACCGUAGUGAGUUAGGACAGUUCAUUAGUCAGAAACCCUUCAAAGUCUAGCCAAGAAGCAGUGAUGAUAUUUUGAUUGGGCAAAGAGAAGGAUGGAGGGGUAAUGGAGGCAAGAAAGAUG